UGCGCAGCAACUCGAAUCCCUACCUCUUCGUGAUACUGGCCGGGGUACGAGUAACCUUGGGGAAGAUCGGGUAACCAACCCUGGUGGGAACUUUGGUCGUAUGCUGAUAGGGAAAG
rnacentral:ribozyme from 1 species